rnacentral:rRNA from 1 species
GACGAACGCUGGCGGCGUGCCUAACACAUGCAAGUCGAGCGGAGACAAUGACUUCGGUUGUUGUUUUAGCGGCGGACGGGUGAGUAACGCGUGAGCAACCUUUCUCUUACUGGGGAAUAACACAGGGAAACUUGUACUAAUACCGCAUGAGACCACAGAGGGGCAUCCUUCAGGGGUCAAAGAUUUAUCGGUAAGAGGUGGGCUCGCGUCUGAUUGGAUAGUUGGUGGGGUAACGGCCUACCAAGUCGACGAUCAGUAGCCGACCUGAGAGGUUGAUCGGCCACAUUGGGACUGAGACACGGCCCAGACUCCUACGGGAGGCAGCAGUGGGGAAUAUUGCGCAAUGGGGGCAACCCUGACGCAGCAACGCCGCGUGAAGGAUGAAGGUCUUCGGAUUGUAAACUUUUGUCUUGAGGGACGAACAAGGACGGUACCUCAGGAGGAAGCCACGGCUAACUACGUG